CCUACGGGAGGCAGCAGUGGGGAAUAUUGGACAAUGGGCGCAAGCCUGAUCCAGCCAUACCGCGUGGGUGAAGAAGGCCUUCGGGUUGUAAAGCCCUUUUGUUGGGAAAGAAAAGCAGUCGAUUAAUACUCGGUUGUUCUGACGGUACCCAAAGAAUAAGCACCGGCUAACUUCGUGCCAGCAGCCGCGGUAAUACGAAGGGUGCAAGCGUUACUCGGAAUUACUGGGCGUAAAGCGUGCGUAGGUGGUUGUUUAAGUCUGUUGUGAAAGCCCUGGGCUCAACCUGGGAAUUGCAGUGGAUACUGGGCGACUAGAGUGUGGUAGAGGGUAGUGGAAUUCCCGGUGUAGCAGUGAAAUGCGUAGAGAUCGGGAGGAACAUCCAUGGCGAAGGCAGCUACCUGGACCAACACUGACACUGAGGCACGAAAGCGUGGGGAGCAAACAGGAUUAGAUACCCUGGUAGUCCACGCCCUAAACGAUGCGAACUGGAUGUUGGGUGCAAUUUGGCACGCAGUAUCGAAGCUAACGCGUUAAGUUCGCCGCCUGGGGAGUACGGUCGCAAGACUGAAACUCAAAGAGUAGUCGCGCGNGAGAGCGACGACGACGACGACGGAGGAGGAGG
rnacentral:rRNA from 1 species